UAGAAGCAGCCAUCAUUUAAAGAAAGCGUAAUAGCUCACUGGUCGAGUCGGCCUGCGCGGAAGAUGUAACGGGGCUAAACCAUGCACCGAAGCUGCGGCAGCGACGCUGAUGCGUUGUUGGGUAGGGGAGCGUUCUGUAAGCCUGUGAAGGUGUGCUGUGAGGCAUGCUGGAGGUAUCAGAAGUGCGAAUGCUGACAUAAGUAACGAUAAAGCGGGUGAAAAGCCCGCUCGCCGGAAGACCAAGGGUUCCUGUCCAACGUUAAUCGGGGCAGGGUGAGUCGACCCCUAAGGCGAGGCCGAAAGGCGUAGUCGAUGGGAAACAGGUUAAUAUUCCUGUACUUGGUGUUACUGCGAAGGGGGGACGGAGAAGGCUAUGUUGGCCGGGCGACGGUUGUCCCGGUUUAAGCGUGUAGGCUGGUUUUCCAGGCAAAUCCGGAAAACUAAGGCUGAGGCGUGAUGACGAGGCACUACGGUGCUGAAGCAACAAAUGCCCUGCUUCCAGGAAAAGCCUCUAAGCAUCAGGUAACAUCAAAUCGUACCCCAAACCGACACAGGUGGUCAGGUAGAGAAUACCAAGGCGCUUGAGAGAACUCGGGUGAAGGAACUAGGCAAAAUGGUGCCGUAACUUCGGGAGAAGGCACGCUGAUAUGUAGGUGAAGUCCCUCGCGGAUGGAGCUGAAAUCAGUCGAAGAUACCAGCUGGCUGCAACUGUUUAUUAAAAACACAGCACUGUGCAAACACGAAAGUGGACGUAUACGGUGUGACGCCUGCCCGGUGCCGGAAGGUUAAUUGAUGGGGUCAGCGCAAGCGAAGCUCUUGAUCGAAGCCCCGGUAAACGGCGGCCGUAACUAUAACGGUCCUAAGGUAGCGAAAUUCCUUGUCGGGUAAGUUCCGACCUGCACGAAUGGCGUAAUGAUGGCCAGGCUGUCUCCACCCGAGACUCAGUGAAAUUGAACUCGCUGUGAAGAUGCAGUGUACCCGCGGCAAGACGGAAAGACCCCGUGAACCUUUACUAUAGCUUGACACUGAACAUUGAGCCUUGAUGUGUAGGAUAGGUGGGAGGCUUUGAAGUGUGGACGCCAGUCUGCAUGGAGCCGACCUUGAAAUACCACCCUUUAAUGUUUGAUGUUCUAACGUUGACCCGUAAUCCGGGUUGCGGACAGUGUCUGGUGGGUAGUUUGACUGGGGCGGUCUCCUCCUAAAGAGUAACGGAGGAGCACGAAGGUUGGCUAAUCCUGGUCGGACAUCAGGAGGUUAGUGCAAUGGCAUAAGCCAGCUUGACUGCGAGCGUGACGGCGCGAGCAGGUGCGAAAGCAGGUCAUAGUGAUCCGGUGGUUCUGAAUGGAAGGGCCAUCGCUCAACGGAUAAAAGGUACUCCGGGGAUAACAGGCUGAUACCGCCCAAGAGUUCAUAUCGACGGCGGUGUUUGGCACCUCGAUGUCGGCUCAUCACAUCCUGGGGCUGAAGUAGGUCCCAAGGGUAUGGCUGUUCGCCAUUUAAAGUGGUACGCGAGCUGGGUUUAGAACGUCGUGAGACAGUUCGGUCCCUAUCUGCCGUGGGCGCUGGAGAACUGAGGGGGGCUGCUCCUAGUACGAGAGGACCGGAGUGGACGCAUCACUGGUGUUCGGGUUGUCAUGCCAAUGGCACUGCCCGGUAGCUAAAUGCGGAAGAGAUAAGUGCUGAAAGCAUCUAAGCACGAAACUUGCCCCGAGAUGAGUUCUCCCUGACUCCUUGAGAGUCCUGAAGGAACGUUGAAG
rnacentral:rRNA from 1 species